rnacentral:rRNA from 1 species
CCUACGGGAGGCAGCAGUGAGGAAUAUUUGUCAAUGGGCGCGAGCCUGAACCAGCCAAGUAGCGUGAAGGAUGACUGCCCUACGGGUUGUAAACUUCUUUUAUAAAGGAAUAAAUUGAGGCACGUGUGCCUUUUUGUAUGUACUUUAUUAAUAAGGAUCGGCCAACUUCGUGCCAGCAGCCGCGGUAAUACGGAGGAUCCCAGCGUUAUCCGGAUUUAUUGGGUUUAAAGUUAGCGUAGAUGGGUUGUUAAGUCAGUUGUGAAAGUUUGCGGCUCAACCGUAAAAUUGCAAUUGAUACUGGCAGUCUUGAGUAAAGUAGAGGUAGGCGGAAUUCGUGGUGGAGCGGUGAAAUGCUUAGAUA